GUAGCGUGGGGAAUGAAAUUUAAGACAUUGAGUCUCAAGCACAAUUUGGUGAUCACUACCUGGAUUCUGAAUUCAUGGAUUUGUCUUUUCUUUCUUUGUGGAUUCUGAGCGUUUUUUUCUGUUUACUUUUCGAUGAUUUCCGCUUGCAUCUUAUAGGGAAGACAAUCAAUGAAUGUAUGAUGGGCUAGAGGUGGUUGAGAGAGCAUUGAUGGACUUGCCGUUCGUCUUUAGGUGUUAUUACCGUUAGCAUUGAUGGAAUCGCAGUAUUCAAAUUAAAUUGUGAACCUGCUUUCCUGCAGUCGAAAGCAUCGAGUCUCCACCGCAAUUUGGUGAUCUCUAUCUGGGUUCUGAAAUUCAUGGAUUUGUCUUUUCUUUCUUGCUUUGUGGAUUCUGAGCGUUUUCUCGGUUUAUGUUUUCUCGGUUGAAUGUGUGAUGGGCUGUGGAAGAGGUGGUUGAGAGAGCAUUGAUGGACUUGACGUUCGUCUUUAGGUGUUAUUACUGUUAGAACUGUCAUUUUAAUUUUCUGUUUUUUAUUUUAUUUUUGAUGUUUUUGUUGUGGAUUUGGGUUGUCUUCUGGCUGGGUUCUGGAUUUUGAUUGUUUUGGCAGUGUACGAUAACUUGGCAGCGUCGGAUUCUUUGUGUUUAGGGCGCAAGAGAUUACACAUUUUCCGAAAAGCUGUAUAUUUCUUUGCCUUCUUGGGACAGUUUGUAAUAGGAUUUGAACUGCUUGCUUUCAUUCGUUUGCAUCACAUUGGAGUAUGGAAGUUUUCUGUUUGCAAGCGUUGCCAAUUAAAGAUUUGAUCAUGAAGAAAUUUCUACCAUUCUUGAUACAGCGGACCAGAACGCCAACAACUCAGGAUUACUAAUUUAGUACCUUCGAUUAGUUAUUCUCUCUUUAUUUUCUGGCUUUGAAUGAGACAUACGGAUUAAUUUGUGAACCGGUUUUUCUGCAGCACAUUGCUUUGAAUGCAUGGACCCUGCGUUCAUAAUUCGGUGAUCUCUACCUAGAUUUUAAAUUCUUGGAUUUGUCAUUUUGUUUCCAUUUUUUUUUUUUGGUCGGUUCUGAGCGGUUGGUUGUUUUGAUUUACCACAUCUACAUGAUUUAUUCUUGGGUGUUAUAGGGAAGAUAAUCAUGACAGUAAAUAUUUUGCCGAUUGUUAUCCUUUUGUCGGAUUGAAGAUCUCAAGAAAUUGAUACUUCUCGGACUCCUCUUGUUUUGUCAAUUAUUGUAAUAUCAUUCUUCAUUUGGUCAUAUGGUGUUGUAGGUUGUGAACUGCUUGUGUUCAUCCGGAUAUGAGUUUUGUGUUCUUAGGCGUUGCCAAUUAAAAGAUUGGAUAAUGAAGAAAUUUCUUCCUUUCUUGAUACAUCAAAUCAGAACUGCUAACAGCUCAUGAUUAUUUAGUUUUCCUUCAAUGAGUUGAUCUGUAUUUUUUUAAUUUUAUGGCUUUAAUCAGGAGGCAUAUGGUUUAAAUUCUGAAUCUGUUUUCCUGCAGCGUAGUGCUUCGAAUGUAAUCGUCUGUCAUGCAUAAUUUGGUGAUCUACCUGGAUUCUUAAUUCUUUGAUUUGUCUUUCCGUUUCUAUCAAUCUUUAUCCCUUCUGAUUGUUUACUUUUCUCAAUUUACUUUUCUAUCCUGCUUGGUUGUUAUAGGGAAGCUAAUCAUCUAUGUGUUCUAGGCUUUCGAAGCAGUGGCUGAGAGUAUUGACGGGCUUUCUGUUCGGCUUUAGGUUUUAUUACCAUUAAUAUCAGUUUCUUUUUUUAUUUGAAUGAGGUCGUUCUGGAUUCCGUUAUUUUGACGGUGAACGCUAACUUGGUGGUGUUGGAAUUCUUGUAUGUUUCUGUAUCAGGACUAUGAUUUUUAAAGCGCUGGAGUUUACACGUUUCAUUUCCUUCCUUUUCGGGAGGAAUUUGGGAUAGUUUGGUUAAGGCCCUUACCUCAGAUGAUCUGUGUUGUGUCAUGCUGCACGGUGGUAAUAAGCUUAAAUUGUUUGCUUCGAUUUUAUAUUGAGCACCUGAGUCUGCAGGCAGAUGGAAAUUUGGUCUAAACAGGGAUGAAGCAGCAUCUUCCGCAUGGUUGUAUCAUAUUAUAGUCAGUAUUGUUUUUUAAUGAAACUUUUAAGAUAUUAUUUUUUAUCAUCAAACUGUUCUUUUAUAUGUAAUUUUUUUAAUAAUUUCUUACAUUGAUUAUGGUUUAUUUAUAUGGUCCUCUAUAUCCUUUUAAAACUAAGUAUUGGCGUUUGUUAAUUCCAAUUCUUAACUAUUCAAAUUGAUGAAAGGACUUUAACGAAUUUUCUGUUGAUCUAGGUGUUGAACUUCUUGGGUUUAUUAGUUUGCAGUAUUUUGUGGUCUGGAAAUGUAUUUAUGUUCUUAGGCAUAGCCAAAAUGAAGACUGGGUUUUAAGAAUGUUCUUCUAUUAUAUGUGCAGAGGUUUUUAUCAGAUGAAAGCGGCAAAGAGCUCUGCAUUAUUUGAUUUUACUUUUAGAUGAGUUUGUUUUGUAUUGUUUUUGUUUUCUGGAAUUGGUAGCCAUGAAUAUUAAUUGAAUUGUGAACUUGGUUUUGUACAGCUUAGUGUUUCUAACUAUUUAAUGUGAUAUUAGUGGUAUGUGUAUCUCGAUUGUUGUCUUUCUUGCACGGGUUUUUUGUGUUCAGGAUUAGAGCAGUAAUGCGUAUUGUUCUCUUCAGUAUACAAUAUGUGAAGAGCUCCGUGUUGAAGACUCAUCUUUAGUGUGCAGUUUUCGAUGAUUUGCCAUCCUUUCUAGCUACUCUGUCAUUUUCAUAGCCAAAAUGUUAUGUCUUGCCAGUUUGGUAUGUGCAGUAAUAGAAGCUUUUUAUCGGUAUCUGUUACAUAGAGCAAUAAGAGAUUAAUGGAUUGUAAUAUUUCCGGGAGAUCAGCUACAUUGGUUGCCCAUUGAUUGGCAUUUUACGGGGUUUUUAAUCCGAACUUUGAGAAUUUUUUAUCAAGUGAAGCGUGCAGCAUAUGCUUAUUUUGGUAAAUGUGUCUUAUCUUGGAUGCAAGCCUUCUCUGAGGAUGUUUCUUAUUUGUUAUUCUUUUGUUUGUAAUUUAUAUUGAGUUUACUUUUUUAUUUUUUGGGAAUUGAUGGUUACUUGAUGAUGUAGUAUUCUAUUGUGGAUGUUUGAUCAAUUGUACCCGAUGUUUUGGAUGUUUUCUUAAGCUGUGAUUUGUGUUUCAGAUUGGUUUAUUUUUAUUUUUUUGUGGGCAUAUUUUAUGGAGUUUUGAAGGAUUAGUAUGGCUCUGUUCUCCUUUAUAGGUGUGAAAUAUAAGUUUUUUUUAAAAAAGCCUUCACAUAAGCACGUUGUUGGGGUUAAAAAUCUAGUUCUUUGUUUCAUGUAGUAUUCGAUGUUUGGGUUUUGUAUCCUGUAUUGUAUUGUGUAUCUUACAGAUGACUUAAAAAAUGUUUACCACUCAUUAUCGCUCUUUUGCAAAUAGUCCUAUGUGUUCAUGUAUAGUGUAUUGGGUUUUUUAUUCUUAAUUUUUUUAACUCCGCCUAUGUAUGAUCAUCUAUAGAUUUCAGUGAUCCUUUGAUAUCAUAUUACAUCCACUUGAAUUAGGAAUACGGGAGAAUUCACUCUCUCUAAUUUAAGUAGGUGUAGUAUGUUUUAUUGGAGUAUUGAUAAUUUAUUUGUAUGACUACAUAGCCUGUCCCAAGCCAGGAUAAAGGAGGAUGGUUUGUGGCAUAAUGAGUUUAUAUAAAAGCAAUUAACAUUUGUUCUCAACAGGAGAGUUCGAUUCAAUGUUUGUGCUUGUAGAAUGUAUAGGUCAUUUUAAGCUAAUUUUCUACGAACAAUUUUUGUUGUUAAAUCCAUUAACUGUUCAUCUUUGCCAUAAGAAUCUUGGUCUUAGCAAGGAGGUGGUUAGUAUCAUUUUACAAUACAAUUAUAUGAUGACAUUACGUUGUUUAAUUUAGUAUCGCUUUUUUUUAUACUAUAGUUGGUCUUAACUCUCUAUAAAUUAGCCACACAUACAAACAAAAAAGAAAAAAAAAAACAAUUUGAGAUAACAUCAGGUAAAUUUGUGGAACUUAAAAACCCUUUCGUGUUAGUUGAUACUCAUUUGCUAAAUUUUGAGAUUUGAAUUUUUUGAAUUUUUAGUAAGGGGGAUUGUACAUGUGAAUGUAAAUGCUACUGUAUAAUGGAGAUUUUGUUUGAAAGUGGGUAAAUAUUGAGUGCACAACUAGAUGCAUUUAGAAUUUAUGAAGGAAGGGAAUAAGAUCAUUGAAGGGAUCCUGUAGCGAAGUCGUAUUUUCGUGUGGGGUGUACAUGUGUUCUUGUCUGUACCUAGGGUUAAGCUAUUUUGGGAUUUGUGUUUUUGUUUGUGUAUGUACAACUCAUUUGUAAGUGUCCAUUAAGCCUAGAAGAUACUAUUAUUUUAUUUUAAUUUAAAACACAAACAGAACCAGAAUUUAGAUGUAUGAACCUAACUUUUAAUAGUUCAUAAAAACAGAAUCGUACGUUGAAAUGUAAGUUUCUUAUCAUUAACGGUAUCAAUAUUGAUAUUGUCGACAACAAUGGGAUCCAAAGAUCCUCAGGAGAGACUUUGUUUUGGUUGAGUUCAAGCCUUAUAAUCGGGAAAGUUUUCACAGCGUGAAACAAGGUAUAUUGAGGUAAGAAUGAUGUUCAAAAAGUUAAAAUUUAGUUUAUGUAUAUCUGGAUUAUUAGUGCUUACUAAUGUUAACGUACUUAUGUGAUGUACAGAAGUACUGUCCAAAUGAUGAUUUCGUAGUCUCAAAUUUUUAUACACGUUGAAGGAUCAAUGUAUGUUGGAAUUCAUUACAGCUUGUUGAGAUUAUUAAAUUUAUUAUAAAACUCUUAUUACAUGUAUUUUUCAUUAUGUCAUUGUUCCAGGUACCGAGCCAGUACAUAAUUUUUUUUUAAUUAUGGUGGGAUGAUGUAUUGUCCCAAGUUAUUAUAAGAAUAUGUUGUAACCAUUACUAUAAGAAUAUGUUUAAUCAGACUAUUAUGAUUUAUGACUUUAU